rnacentral:misc_RNA from 1 species
CGCACCUUGCGCUCCUUGGUAUUCCGAGGAGCAUGCCUGUUUGAGUGUCUUGAAGUCAUCAACCCCUACCGUUUUGUGCGGCUUCGGGUUGGAGCUGGGGGCUUGCUGCCGAGAGGCGGCUCCCCUCAAAUGCGUCGGUUGGGCCUGUGGGUCGAACUCGAUUGGGCGUUGUAUUGUCCUCGCUUUAACGAGAUGUUCCCCUCCUUUGCGCCCCUCCCCGACCUGCCUUUUGAGUGGCGGUCAAGCAAAACUUUGAAAUUCUGACCUCAAAUCAGGUAGGACUACCCGCUGAACUUAA